rnacentral:rRNA from 1 species
GAUGAACGCUAGCUACAGGCUUAACACAUGCAAGUCGAGGGACCGGCGCACGGGUGAGUAACACGUAUCCAACCUGCCCUUUACUCGGGGAUAGCCUUUCGAAAGAAAGAUUAAUACCCGACAUAGAGGAUGGGGAUGCGUUACAGUAGGUUGUUGGUGCGGUAACGGCGUACCAAGCCUUCGAUGGUUAGGGGUUCUGAGAGGAAGGUCGCCCACAGUGGAACUGGGACACGGUCCAAACUCGUACCGGAGGCAGAAGUGUGGAAUAUUGGUCAAUGGGCGGUAGCCUGAACCAGCCAAGUAGCGUGAAGGAUGAAGGCUUAUGGGGCGUACACUUCUUUUAUAGAAGAAUAUGUAUUAUAUGAAUAAGGAUCGGCUAACUCCGUGCCAGCAGCCGCGGUAAUUC